UAUAAGUAAAAUACGGAAAAAAUGGAAUUUUUUUUUUACAAAAUUUACUUUUGAAUAUUAUCUUAUGAUCAUAAACAAGCUUCUGUCCAAGUUUGGUAGAAAUCCAGGAUAGUUUAAGAAAGUUAUUAAAAUUUCAAAAACUUUAACCACAGAGUGAAUAUUUGUGGAUGCCGCCGAAGCCAACGGAAUGUAGGAUCGCUAUGUCUCCCUUUUUCGACAAAAGUCGAAGGCUCGAUAAAUAUGACAUUUCUUUAGGUUUAGGGGAAGAAGUAUAAUCCCAAAGGAGUUUUGAUUUUUAUUCAAAAAUAUUUUAGUUGUAUGAGAACAAAAAAAUUCCACCUCUACAGAGGGUGGAUAAAUAACUAAACAUCCUAAGAAUGAAGAGGGUGGAUAAAAAACUAAACAUCCUAAGGAUGAUUUUGAUCAUGUUUGGAUUUAGUUGGAGUGUCAGUUCUAGAGGAGAAGUUUCAAACAACUAGAUGUGUCGGAAAAACGCCAAUGGCCUUGCUUGCAAAAAAAACUUGAAGCCAUUUUUAGGAGUGGAAAUUUGUUAUCAAACUACAUUCAUAGAACAAGCAUGUUAUCUGAAUACAGCCGUUAUCUUGUUUACUGCAGCACUCAUAGACCAACCAUUAAAAUUAACCACACGUUAUGUUGUUAUCCUGCAACAUUCAUUAACCAAACAUGAAACCUGAUCACAACCGGACUACUUUGUUGCGGGGCCAUAAAAAUUACAGGCAGACACCAAGUGAUGAUGAUACAUUUUGUUGUUCAUACUGGCCAUUUCAUUUUUCAGAAUAGUAAUGGUAGCAACCAUUUUUGAUGGUAAUUGGUGUCAUUAACCAUGAUUCAUAAAUCUCAUGAAUAAUGAAUCAUUAACCAAGUUUGGUAGCCAUUUUUCUGAUUAAUUUUCUUUUUUGUCAAACUUUCUUUUUUCAGCAGUAGUUGAGGUCAUAUAUGAUGUCUGUUGGAAUCACCUAACAUAAUUUUCAAAAGGGAUUGCUCAUUGUUGAAAGCCCUAUAGUUCAUAACUUCUUCGUCAUUUGGUCUCUGGUGGAUAGUUGUUUCAUUGGUAAUCAUACCACAUCUUCUUAUCUUUAUAAUUAGUUCCAUGCACAAACAGUAGCAAAAAGGACAAACAUGAGCGACCAAGGAUAAUACGGGAAUGACCCAAUCUUUAUAAUAAGUGAGUUUUGAUAAAAUUUGAAUUCUUAUAUCCAUAAGUAUAACAACAAUUGAUGAGGAUAUAAGAGAACAACAAAUGUUUAAAUUUCUUUGUGGUCAUUCAAUCCACUGGUCUUUACAUUUCAAUCAGUAAAAAUGAGAGAUGUAAUCCAUCAAAAUACGAAUUCAACAAUUGAUAGCCUACUGAGGAAUUUUAAAAGUAAGAACACAGUUUUCACAAAUAUGGUUUAUUUCACGAUAUGAAGGAUUAGACAAACAAAAUAUUAUUUGUAAACUUAAUUGGCACAACAAAAACAAUAAUGAUGUACAAAGGAUAAAUUUCGUCUCAUUCAUGUAUUCUCUUGUUGCCUUUUAACUCAAAUGAAAUAAAUCACUAUGUUUUGGGAAAAAGCACCUCUUUCUGAAAAAAAUUAACCCUUUGUACACAUAUUUG